rnacentral:rRNA from 1 species
GCGUGAGUGAUGAAGGCCUUCGGGUUGUAAAACUCUUUUAGAUGUGAAAAUGAUGAUGGUAGCAUCAGAAAAAGCUCCGGCUAACUUCGUGCCAGCAGCCGCGGUAAUACGAAGGGAGCGAGCGUUGUUCGGAAUCACUGGGCGUAAAGCGUGCGUAGGCGGUUUUGUAAGUCAGAAGUGAAAGCCUGGGGCUCAACCUCAGAAUUGCUUUUGAGACUGCAAAGCUAGAGUAUUGGAGAGGUCAGUGGAAUUCCGAGUGUAGAGGUGAAAUUCGC